rnacentral:lncRNA from 1 species
UAUCACUGUUGCACUGCGUUGAUCUGUUGUCGAUGACUCUGUUUGGUCGUUCUUUGUUGUUUUAAAUUGUAAGGGUCUGCUCUCAAUAACUCUACAUCCGCUCACGAUAGCACUUGCUCUUUUCAAGAAUGGGUGUCCAGACAUAUAUGCUCGUUCUUGGUUUUUCGGAGUUUACCACUAAGUUUGUGUAUCCAGUUCAUGAUUGGCACUCGUACGCAGGUGUGCUAAGUUGUACUCGUGACUGUUGUUCAUUUGCUAGGAUUGACUCUUAGAUCC